UAAGCCAUGCGAGUCGAGAGGGUUCGGCCCUCGGCGUACUGCUCAGUAACACGUGGAUAACCUGCCCUAGGGAAGGGGAUAAUCCCGGGAAACUGGGGAUAAUACCCUAUAGGUUACAGAUGCUGGAAUGCUCUGUAAUCAAAAGUUCCGGCGCCCUAGGAUGGAUCUGCGGCCGAUUAGGUUGUUGUUGGGGUAAUGGCCCAACAAGCCAGUAAUCGGUACGGGUUGUGGGAGCAAGAGCCCGGAGUUGGAUUCUGAGACACGAAUCCAGGCCCUACGGGGCGCAGCAGGCGCGAAAACUUUACAAUGCGGGCAACCGUGAUAAGGGAACCUCGAGUGCCUGUAAAUGCAGGCUGUUCAGAUGUCUAAAACACAUCUGGAGAAAGGGCCGGGCAAGACCGGUGCCAGCCGCCGCGGUAAUACCGGCGGCUCGAGUGGUGGCCACUAUUAUUGGGCUUAAAGCGUCCGUAGCUGGACCGAUAAGUCUCUUGGGAAAUCCGCCGGCUCAACCGGCGGGCGUCUAAGGGAUACUGUUAGUCUAGGGACCGGGAGAGGUGAGAGGUACUCCGGGGGUAGGAGUGAAAUCCUGUAAUCCCCGGGGGACCACCGAUGGCGAAGGCAUCUCACCAGAACGGCUCCGACAGUGAGGGACGAAAGCUGGGGGAGCGAACCGGAUUAGAUACCCGGGUAGUCCCAGCCGUAAACUAUGCGCGUUAGGUGUACUGGUGACCACGAGUCACCGGGGUGCCGAAGGGAAACCGUGAAACGUGCCGCCUGGGAAGUACGGUCGCAAGGCUGAAACUUAAAGGAAUUGGCGGGGGAGCACCACAACGGGUGGAGCCUGCGGUUUAAUUGGACUCAACGCCGGAAAUCUCACCGGAUAGGACAGACAUAUGAUAGUCGGGCUGAAGACUCUACUUGAUGAUCUGAGAGGAGGUGCAUGGCCGUCGUCAGUUCGUACUGUGAAGCAUCCUGUUAAGUCAGGCAACGAGCGAGACCCA
rnacentral:rRNA from 1 species